rnacentral:rRNA from 1 species
CCUGAGUACGACGGAGCACGUGAAAUUCCGUCGGAAUCUGGGAGGACCAUCUCCUAAGGCUAAAUACUCUCUAGUGACCGAUAGUGAACCAGUACCGUGAGGGAAAGGUGAAAAGUACCCCGGAAGGGGAGUGAAAGAGAACUUGAAACCGUGUGCUUACAAGUAGUCAGAGCCCGUUAAUGGGUGAUGGCGUGCCUUUUGUAGAAUGAACCGGCGAGUUACGAUCUGAUGCAAGGUUAAGCAGAAAAUGUGGAGCCGUAGCGAAAGCGAGUCUGAAUAGGGCGAAUGAGUAUUUGGUCGUAGACCCGAAACCAGGUGAUCUACCCUUGGUCAGGUUGAAGUUCAGGUAACACUGAAUGGAGGACCGAACCGACUUACGUUGAAAAGUGAGCGGAUGAACUGAGGGUAGCGGAGAAAUUCCAAUCGAACUUGGAGAUAGCUGGUUCUCUCCGAAAUAGCUUUAGGGCUAGCCUCAAGUGAUGAUUAUUGGAGGUAGAGCACUGUUUGGACGAGGGGCCCCUCUCGGGUUACCGAAUUCAGACAAACUCCGAAUGCCAAAUAAUUUAACUUGGGAGUCAGAAUGUGGGUGAUAAGGUCCAUAUUCGAAAGGGAAACAGCCCAGACCACCAGCUAAGGUCCCAAAAUAUAUGUUAAGUGGAAAAGGAUGUGGCGUUGCCCAGACAACUAGGAUGUUGGCUUAGAAGCAGCCAUCAUUUAAAGAGUGCGUAAUAGCUCACUAGUCGAGUGACACUGCGCCGAAAAUGUACCGGGGCUAAACAUAUUACCGAAGCUGUGGAUUGUCCUUUGGACAAUGGUAGGAGAGCGUUCUAAGGGCGUUGAAGCAUGAUCGCAAGGACAUGUGGAGCGCUUAGAAGUGAGAAUGCCGGUGUGAGUAGCGAAAGACGGGUGAGAAUCCCGUCCACCGAUUGACUAAGGUUUCCAGAGGAAGGCUCGUCCGCUCUGGGUUAGUCGGGUCCUAAGCUGAGGCCGACAGGCGUAGGCGAUGGAUAACAGGUUGAUAUUCCUGUACCACCAUUAUUCGUUUUAAGCGAUGGGGGGACGCAGUAGGAUAGGCGAAGCGUGCUGUUGGAGUGCACGUCCAAGCAGUGAGAUUGAGUGUUAGGCAAAUCCGGCACUCUUAAGAUUGAGCUGUGAUGGGGAGAGGAACUUGUUCCUCGAGUCGUUGAUUUCACACUGCCGAGAAAAGCCUCUAGCUAGAAUAACGGUGCCCGUACCGCAAACCGACACAGGUAGUCAAGAUGAGAAUUCUAAGGUGAGCGAGCGAACUCUCGUUAAGGAACUCGGCAAAAUGACCCCGUAACUUCGGGAGAAGGGGUGCUCUUUGAGGUUCACGCUUCGAAGAGCCGCAGUGAAUAGGCCCAAGCGACUGUUUAUCAAAAACACAGGUCUCUGCUAAACCGUAAGGUGACGUAUAGGGGCUGACGCCUGCCCGGUGCUGGAAGGUUAAGAGGAGUGGUUAGCGCAAGCGAAGCUACGAAUCGAAGCCCCAGUAAACGGCGGCCGUAACUAUAACGGUCCUAAGGUAGCGAAAUUCCUUGUCGGGUAAGUUCCGACCCGCACGAAAGGCGUAACGAUUUGGGCACUGUCUCAACGAGAGACUCGGUGAAAUCAUAGUACCGGUGAAGAUGCCGGUUACCCGCGACAGGACGGAAAGACCCCGUGGAGCUUUACUGUAGCCUGAUAUUGAAAUUCGGUACAGUUUGUACAGGAUAGGUAGGAGCCUUAGAAGCGUGAGCGCUAGCUUACGUGGAGGCAUUGGUGGGAUACUACCCUAAUUGUAUUGGAUUUCUAACCCGCAGCACUUAUCGUGCUGGGAGACAGUGUCAGGCGGGCAGUUUGACUGGGGCGGUCGCCUCCUAAAGAGUAACGGAGGCGCUCAAAGGUUCCCUCAGAAUGGUUGGAAAUCAUUCAUAGAGUGUAAAGGCAUAAGGGAGCUUGACUGCGAGACCUACAAGUCGAGCAGGGUCGAAAGACGGACUUAGUGAUCCGGUGGUUCCGCAUGGAAGGGCCAUCGCUCAACGGAUAAAAGCUACCCCGGGGAUAACAGGCUUAUCUCCCCCAAGAGUUCACAUCGACGGGGAGGUUUGGCACCUCGAUGUCGGCUCAUCGCAUCCUGGGGCUGUAGUCGGUCCCAAGGGUUGGGCUGUUCGCCCAUUAAAGCGGUACGCGAGCUGGGUUCAGAACGUCGUGAGACAGUUCGGUCCCUAUCCGUCGUGGGCGUAGGAAAUUUGAGAGGAGCUGUCCUUAGUACGAGAGGACCGGGAUGGACAUACCUCUGGUGUACCAGUUGUCGUGCCAACGGCAUAGCUGGGUAGCUAUGUAUGGACGGGAUAAGUG